AAAGGAACAACUCCAUGUUUUCUAAAAGGCCUAGAGAACAUAUAUCGGGUGCCUCUCCUCUUUCCCUUUGUGUUCGUCAUUUUGGCGAAUUACUGGAAGAUGGCGGUUCCGGCCGAAAGGGCAAGAUGCAUAUUGGAUAUCUAAAUAGAGAUAUCAAGAAAUGAAGAUAUGCAUUUCCAGUUCCAGAGAGAAAUUCACACUGGAAAUAUAAAUUUAGGAAUUUUAAAGUUAGUGGUCACAUUUAAAGCUGCAGAAUACAAAGAGAUCACCUGUGUGAGAGAACUGAGUCCUGAAACAUACCCGUGUUUAAAGAUCUGGGAGGUGCAGAGGAAUUAUCAAAGGAGGCUGAGAAGGAGCAGCCAGUGAGAUAAGCAAAAAGAAAAGCAAGAGAUAUGGAACUGAACUUCCCUUUGGCAAAAAAUUUAGAAAAUGAUAAUGAGGCCUUGGAGAUACAACAAUGGUACAAGAGAACAUAUUCACGACCACAAGAAGCUGACAGACUAGGUAUACUGAGGAAAUAAAAUUAAGACAGACUGAAGCCAAAUCAGGGGAAUCUUCAGGCUUGCUCCAGGAAAUCAUAGGAUCAAUUAUUGGACCAUCUACUACUCUGCCUUUCCAUCCCCAUGAAACACUGAGAUGAUUUAUAUGAAUGAAAUUGCUGGUGAUUUUCCAGGUCCAACAUGAGUUAGUUAGUAAAUCUUACGCACCAU
rnacentral:lncRNA from 10 species